AGUGUGUGUGUAGGAGAGGAGUCGAGCAGAGAGAGCUACUUUUGCAUGAAACGGGAGUAAAGUAUUGAACUUAGAGAAGAGACACAAACUAAUGUAUCGAUCAUAUACCACUACCAACGUUUGGAUCGAUAUCUGCAUCGAUCUGCCCACCCUUGUCUCCUGGAUCGUAGCUGAGAUCAGCGUGAACCACGUGGGUCUCUGCUCCCUGAUCUGUUUGCUGUGUUUGGAAAGAGUUCCAGCUUCAUCACGGAGUUUCUCUCGGUUUGUGGGCUCAUCUAAAGCUGAUCAGCAGGAGGAGAAGAGUCUGACGGAGCACCAGACGAACAUUUUCAACCAUUUGGACUCAGCUCAGCUGCUACAGUGGACAAAAAUGUCAUCAACACAAAAGGGUCCACGCCUGAUAGCAUCAGCUUUUCCACCAACUGCUGCAGAAUGAUCGUGUUAAAAGCUGAGCUGAAGUCGAUGAAAAGGACUCUGGCAGAGCGGUGUUCUUCCUCUCCAGGACCAACAUGGAGCGAGAAGUCAGCGCUCUCAGGAGGCCGACAAACCUCACAGAAGAAAGGGAGAGAAAAAAUACAGCUGUGAUGAGUGUGGGAAGAAUUUUAACCAGUCUGGAAAUUUAAAAAAACACCAACUCAUCCACAGUGGAGUUAAAGCGUACAGCUGUGACUUGUGUGGAAAGUCUUUUAACCAGGCUGGAAAUUUAAAAACACACCAACUCAUCCACAGUGGAGUUAAAGCGCACAGCUGUGACUUGUGUGGAAAGUCUUUUACCCAUGCUGGAAGUUUAAAAACACACCAACUCGUCCACAGUGGAGUUAAAGCGUACAGCUGUGAGUUGUGUGGAAAGUCUUUUACCCAUGCUGGAAGCUUAAAAACACACCAACUCGUCCACAGUGGAGUUAAAGCAUACAACUGUGAUUUGUGUGGAAAGUCUUUUACCCAUGCUGGAAGCUUAAAAAGACACCAAAUCAUGCACAGUGAAGUUAAACCAUACAAAUGUGAUUUGUGUGGAAAAUCAUUUACCUCGGCUGAAACUUUAAAACAACACCAACUCAUCCACAGUGGAGUUAAACCGUACAGCUGUGACUUGUGUGGACAGUCUUUUAACCGUCCUGGAAACUUAAAAACUCACCAACUCAUACACAAGGGAGUUAAAGCGUACAGCUGUGACUUGUGUGGAAAGUCUUUUACCUAUGCUGGAAGCUUAAAAACACACCAACUUGUCCACAGUGGAGUUAAGGCAUACAGCUGUGACUUGUGUGGACAGUCUUUUACCCAGGCUGGACACUUAAAAACACACCAACUCAUACACAGUGGAGUUAAAGCAUACAACUGUGACUUCUGUGGACAGUCUUUUAACCGUCCUGGAAACUUAAAAACUCACCAACUCAUACACAAGGGAGUUAAAGCGUACAGCUGUGACUUGUGUGGAAAGUCUUUUAACCAGUCUGGAAAUUUAAAAACACACCAACUCAUCCACAGUGGAGUUAAGGCAUACAGCUGUGACUUGUGUGGAAAGUCUUUUACCCAUGCUGGAAGUUUAAAAACACACCAACUCGUCCACAGUGGAGUUAAGGCGUACAGCUGUCACAUUUGUGGAAAAACCUUCCGCAGACUAGCCAGCCAAAACAUUCACCUACGCAUUCACACCAACAAUGAUGUUUACUGCUGUGAUCAGUGUGACAAACCUUUUGUGACAUACAAAAACUUACAGCAGCACAUGUUUACCCACACUGAGGAGAGACCUUAUAAAUGUGACCUGUGUGAGAAGACUUUUAAAUCUCCACUUAACCUCAAAUCACACCAAAAGAUUCACACCAGGGAGAAACUUUAAAAGUGCAGUUACUGUGAGAAGCAGAGCGACACCACAGUUCUCAACCCUGUCAUCACUGUGGUGGUGGGAAAGAGUUUCUCUGUGACCUUUGUGGAAAAACUUUCAGUCAUCAAGAGAACAUAAAACAACAUCAACUCAGACACACUGGAGAGAAAUGUGGGAGAGGCUUCCCUAAACCAAGUGAAUUAAAACAAAAUGAACUCUGUCACAGCGGGGUCAAAAAGCAUCUCUCAUUCACCACUGCGGAUCAUCUUAAAGUGCAUGAAAGAGUCCACACAGGAGAGAAACCAUACAAAUGCAGACACUGUUAGAAAAGCUUCUCACUGUCAGGGAGUCGUAACAAACAUGAACAUGGAGGGGAAACUACAGCUGUGACCAGUGUGGCUGAUCUGGGUGUGGGCUGUACUUUGGUGUAUUACCACCUUAAACAGCUUGAUCUUUUUGUGGUUUCAUUGACUCAGUUAUGUCAGAUUUCCUCUCUGUCCUGGUCUGGAUGCUCAUCUGUAAAGAAGUAAAACUCAAAUUGUUCAUUGGUCUCUAGCAGCUGAUUGGUGAGCCAGCACUUCUGUGCAGCAUGCAGUUGUGCUUCUUUUCCUCUUGUGUCGACUCAGCUCAGUUACUCGGUUAGAGGGUUUCACCUACACAUGAAUCCUUCCUGGAUUCAGUGUUUUGGUAUGAGGUGUUCUUGGGAAGACGUCACACCACCACCACUGUGUCAGGCUGUUCCUGUGAUGUUCUUUUAAUGCCACGUGUAACGGGACUCAAAUCUCUCAAAAAAACUACAGCUUCUGUCUCAUCUACCAACAAACAUCUGGAUGAUGUUUGUUGGUAGAUGUGAGAUGAGACUUUCUGUUGUUGAAUCUCUCCCAUGGAGAGUCUCUUUCCCAGUCUCUUUCUUAUUGCUGAACCAUAGGCCUGCAGGUUUUUAGAUAAUGAUCUGGGUUCUUCAGUGACCUCCUGGAUUAGUCAUCUAUGCACUCUUGCAGUAUUUCUAGUCAGCCGGUUGCUCCUGGGAGAUUUGAGUACUCUUCCAUUUUUCCUGUAAUGUGGAUAAUGACUCGUGGUUCACUUGAGUCCCAAAGAAUUAGAAAUGACUGUGCAACCUUUUCAUACUGAUGUCAGUGACUUUGUUUCUCUGCUGCUUCUUUUGAUCGUAGCAUGAUGUGCUGCUGUGUGAGAUCUUUCAGCCUGCUUCCAUACAUGGUCAGGUUGUUUUUCAUACCUUUUUACCCUUAACAAAUUAAACCAUUUACAGACUAUUUUCCAUUGACCCAGGUAACCUUUGUCAUAUUUCUUUCCUUUUUGAUCAUCUGAAACAUUCAAAUGUUGAGUCCUUCAGGUGUAACCUUGACUGUUUACCCAGUUGCAGCUUAAGCUAGGCUUAAUUCUUCCUUUUUAUACUACUGCUUAGUCACAACCAGCUGUGACAAUGUUUACGGCUGGUUUGGUUCAAGUGCCAGUUUAGUAAAUAGGAGAGGGCUCUCAAUCCCUGCAGUGCAUAAAAGUUUGAGUUCUCUGUCAUUGCUCACUUUCUGUAAGAAUGUCAUGGUCCUGGGUCUUUUGACCCAGCGUUUUGUGUUUUCUAUUAUUGUGAUAUAUUUUGGUUCUGGUUUUCUAUUUCUUUGGGUUUUGGUUCUGUUCUUCCUCAGUUUAGUAUUUAGGCUUUUCUGCCUGCGUAUUCCUGUGUCAAGUCCGGGUUUCUUAGUCUGUGUCUUUGCAUGAGUGAGUUCCUGUUUUAUUUUGUAGGUCUGUGUCUCUCGUCAGUGCUUCUAGUUUCACUCCCCUUGUCUCAUUAUGUCCAAUUACCCCCAGCCGUGCCUCCGUCUGUGUCAGGUCUGUUUUUGUUUAGGUAACUCCCUGUUCUGGGCCCUGUUUCAGAAAGCCGGUUUAGAAAACUCAGAGUUAAAAAUGAUACUCAGGGUUGAGUAACCCCGAACUGUCCAACUCGGAAUAUUCGGUUUCAGAAAGGCUGAUAACAAUUAGUUCAAUCAACGCGGAGUUGCUUUAACCCCAAGUUAAGCGCGCGCAUAAAGCCCUGAUUAGUGGAGCACAGAUUAAGCGAGUCACCAUGGAGACGGAGGGAAAGAAGGCGCGGUCAAUGUAUUUUACAGCGCUUGAGGCCGAAAUUCUGAUGGCAGCAUAUGCCGAUAACAUGCAAAUUUUGCGGAAAAAAAGUAACACAGCCUCAGCUGCAAAAGAAAGGGAGCAUGCAUGGCAAAACAUAGCCGACAGAGUCAGAGUCAAUGCGUGAGUGUUAAUUUAAACAUUGAUCUAGGGAUUUCCACCCAUUUAACACGUUAUUUUAUUAUAUUUCAUUUUAUUUUUUGUUUUAUACAUUUUAUUUUGUGAUGUGAUGUGAGCGCAGGUGCAACCCAACAGGCCCCAAACGUUCCUGGCAGCAAGUAAAAAUGAAAUAUAAAAAUAUAGUCCAAACAGGUGUAAUUGUAUUAUGAGCCAUAGUGCUUGGUCUGUUUGUCCUAUGUAAAUCAAUUGCAGUUAGAGGCUACAUUAAUUUUCUUUCUGUAAGCACUUAUUGAAAUUAUCUGAGCACAUUACAAGUACAUAUUUGCUUACUCAGUAUGCUCAAAUGUGACCCGUUAUAGCCAACAGAAAAAAAGCGGAGGCCCGAAAAACAGGUGGGGGUCCUCCACCACCACCACUCACAGAGGCGGAGCAGUUGGCCCUCAGCCAAAACAGUGGGCGCCCUGUGGCUGAAGGCAUCUCUGCGGGGACAUCCUCUGAGUCAAUAACCCCGCAAGACACAAGUGCCUACAUAAGAGGUAAAUUACUGUAUUCCAUUACUUUAAUGAAAUAAUUUGUUAGUUUGAAAUGCUACAGGGAACUAUGUACCUGUACAUUAAUGCUGUGGAAAGACUUCCUGUUCACAUAGUCUCCUUCAUUUACUGAAGGAGCAAUGAUUGGAAUGUGAGUGCCAUCUAUACAGCCAAUCACGCCUGGGAACCCUGAAAAUAAAUGUAAAAUCUAAGUAGUAGUUCAAGUAUCACCACAUCAUGAAUUAAGUUUUGUUCAUCCUGAUACCUGCAAUUUUGUGGAAUCCCUCUUUGAUAAAUCGUGUGGGUCUAUGACCGGGGAACACCACAAACGAGUACAGGAGACGUUUCAGUGCAACUGUAACAUUCCUGACUGCCCGACAGACGGUAGCCUUGGAAACGUGCUCAGCGUCACCAAUAUUAUACAGAAAGCUCCCGUUUGCAAAAAAACGAAGUGCAAUACAAAUAAUAUGUACAGAACUGAGAGAAUGUCCGCGCAUGUCUCACAUGAGCAAUAUAAGGCCUGAGGAUGUUAUUCAAAUAAAUUAUAGAUUGUGCUGACAAACGGUAACGUUCACACAGAAAAUCAUCAGGAAAUGAUAAAAUGUCCAAACGCGCUCUAAUCACUCUCUCCCGGCGGAGAGCUCUGCGGAGAAUUUGGGCUUCAACAUCUACUGGCUCUUCAAGGAAGGGGCACGCCAUGUCUGACACUUCCUACAGUCAGGUUUCCGACAAAGAGGCGGAGACAGUCAGGGUUAGUUGAAGUAAACCUGCUAGGGGGCAGGUUAGCUUCACGGAGUGUGUCGUCAUAGUAACUCACUCAGAAUUAAUCUAAACUCGCUUUGUGAAACCGAAAACCCAGAGUUUUUGUUAACUCAGGGUAUACUUACUCAGAGUUUGCACUAAACCGGCUUUCUGAAACAGGGCCCUGUUUUGCCACCCUCGCCUUUGUUUGUUAUCUCACUGUCAAUAAAGCUUCCUCACCUCAGUUGUGCUGCAUCCUGGGUCCUUUAAUAACUUACACCUGGCUCGCGUCGCGAACCGUGACAAAGAAAGCAUGUUAUCCUCAGGCAGAGCUGCAGACGAUCAAGAAUCCAUAACUACUGGAUGGUGGACAUUUCUCCAAGCAGACAGUCAGUUCUUGGGAUGCAAGCUGGAUGUAGUUUUACAACCUUUAACUUAAUCUCUGUGUGUUUUUAACAUCUUAUACUCUGGUUUAACUUUUAAACAACCUGAUCAAUGAAAGCACAUCAAAUAACUCCUGUUUGUCAUCAGCAGUGGCUUUAGGAUCAUCCUCACCUGCUCAUGGUUGCAGUUGUUUAUCGGUGUGCUAAUAGACAUGAAUUGGCAUUUACUUUAUAGUGUGAUAAGAUGUUAAUAAGCUUAUAAAGCUGUAAAGCCUCUUAUCACCUCCUUCCUCACUGUGAUGCUCAAUGUGAACAUCAGGUUGUCUUGAUGAUGUCUACGUGAGUUUCUUCAAUAUUAUUGGUUAAUUAGAUAUUUCGAUUGAUAAGCAUCUGAAAUUGUGGACCUACUAAAGUGACCAGUGAGUAUACAGUCUGGUUAUAUCAAUACUACAAUCUAAAUAUCAGGAGAGCAAAUCAAUAUGCUUUCAUCAUGUUUAACUUUGUUCACAUGCACUGAUGAAUGUACAGCUGAUGGCUGUAGCAUAAAACCCACUGUAGAAAACAGUAUUCUUUAUCAGGAAACAUUAAAUACUGAGUGUUUCCUCCCCACUACAGUUGUGAUAUAUCUUGAACUUCUCACAGUCCUUCAAUCAUUCCACCAAAACACUGAUCCUGAAAUCCCUGACACGUCCCUGUACAGCACAAACCCCCACCCCCCACCCCAAUAACCAUCUAAAUUAUGUUUCGUGUAAUAAAAGUAGUAAAGGGAAAAAACUUUCAACACUAGAACAGGAGGGGUCCUUUUCACAUCGGACUAAAACAGCAGCUGUAACUUGUAUUUACUCAAAUUACUUCAGGUCUACACAGACCUCCCUCUCCCCUCACCACCUCCUGAGUAUGCAGGGGAACACCAAGGCGUUCCCAUAUAAAAGCCACUUCACCAAUAACUGGUUUCAGCUUCUACCUUGUGACAGGAAUGUUCUUUCACCUCAAAAUGACUUGAUACAAAUCAUGAGACACAUGCUUGACAGAUUA